rnacentral:tRNA from 1 species
GGGCUCUUAGCUCAGUUGGUUAGAGCGCCUCGUUUACACCGAGGAGGUCAGAGGUUCGAGUCCCCUAGAGCCCACAA